rnacentral:rRNA from 1 species
CCCACCGCCCGUCACGCCAUGGAAGCUGGGGGGACCUGAAGCCGGUGGGCUAACUCGCAAGAGAGGCAGCCGUCAAAGGUCAAUUCAGUGACUGGGGCG